UACGAAGGGGGCUAGCGUUGCUCGGAAUUACUGGGCGUAAAGCGCACGUAGGCGGUCUUUUAAGUCGGGGGUGAAAUCCCUGGAGCUCAACUCCAGAACUGCCUUCGAUACUGGAAGACUCGAGUCCGGGAGAGGUGAGUGGAACUGCGAGUGUAGAGGUGAAAUUCGUAGAUAUUCGCAAGAACACCCGUGGCUAAGGCGG
rnacentral:rRNA from 1 species